rnacentral:rRNA from 1 species
UACGUAGGGUGCGAGCGUUGUCCGGAAUUACUGGGCGUAAAGGGCGCGUAGGCGGCCUUGUGUGUCGCGUGUGAAAUCCCCGGGCUCAACCCGGGAACUGCAUUCCAAACUGGAUGUCUAGAGUGCAGGAGAGGAAAGCGGAAUUCCUAGUGUAGCGGUGAAAUGCGUAGAUAUUAGGAGGAACACCAGUGGCGAAGGCGGCUUUCUGGACUGUAACUGACACUGAGGCAUGAAAGCGUGGGUAGCAAACAGGAUUAGAUACCCUGGUA